CCUACGGGAGGCAGCAGUGGGGAAUAUUGGGCAAUGGGCGCAAGCCUGACCCAGCAACGCCGCGUGAAGGAAGAAGGCUUUCGGGUUGUAAACUUCUUUUAAGAGGGAAGAGCAGAAGACGGUACCUCUUGAAUAAGCCACGGCUAACUACGUGCCAGCAGCCGCGGUAAUACGUAGGUGGCAAGCGUUGUCCGGAUUUACUGGGUGUAAAGGGCGUGCAGCCGGGAAGACAAGUCAGUUGUGAAAUCCCGGGGGUCAACCGCGGAACUGCAUUUGAAACUGUUUUUCUUGAGUACCGGAGAGGUCAUCGGAAUUCCUUGUGUAGCGGUGAAAUGCGUAGAUAUAAGGAGGAACACCGGUGGCGAAGGCGGCCUGCUGGACUGCGACUGACGUUGAGGCCCGAAAGCGUGGGGAGCAAACAGGAUUAGAUACCCCUGUAGUC
rnacentral:rRNA from 1 species